rnacentral:rRNA from 1 species
UACGUCGGGGGCGAGCGUUGUCCGGAGUUACUGGGCGUAAAGGGCACGCAGGCGGUCAUGUAAGUCUGUUCUGACAGCUCCUGGCUCAACCGGGAGAGGCGAACGGAAACUGUAUGACUUGAGGACUUCAGAGGGACACGGAAUUCCGGGUGGAGUGGUGAAAUGCGUAGAGAUCCGGAGGAACACCAAAGGCGAAGGCAGUGUCCUGGGAAGUACCUGACGCUCAGGUGCGAAAGCCAGGGGAGCGAACGGG